rnacentral:lncRNA from 1 species
AAUCAUUGACGAUAUCGGCCUGCAUGGCGCCACGCCUGAACAGUGCCGAAAGAAGUGGCUGAAUCUGCUGAGGAAGUACAAGAACCCGCCAACUGAAGCUGGAAACGAAGAAAACGAACUCUCGUGGCCGUUCUUCGAACUGAUGGAUGCAGUGAUGUCAGGAAGGCCGAUUAUAACACCACCGCGGCUGAUUGCGUCAGCGCUUGCCGAUGCAAGCACGGAGACCUCAGAGGAUGCAAAUGACCAGCAACCCCGGGAGCCAAAGAGGCAGAGACGCGAGGAGACGCAGAAAAAAAACGACGUCAUGGAGCGCAUCCUCACCAACGUCGAAAAACAAACGGAGCUGAUGGGGAAGAUGUUCGAUUUUUUCAUGAGGCGCGCCGAUGACAACUAGCCACCUAAUUGUGGUUUAGACCAUGUGUGUUAUGUAACAGCAGACAUUGUUACUUUUCACAAGGCUUUUGGUUAUAUUUAUUAAUAAACUAAUAUGUUUGAUGGUUAAAAAAAGUCCAGCUGAUUACAGACAAUGAACUAAAAAAACU